CACGUAGGGGGCAAGCGUUGUCCGGAUUUAUUGGGCGUAAAGAGCUCGUAGGCGGUUUGUCGCGUCUGCCGUGAAAGUCCGGGGCUCAACUCCGGAUCUGCGGUGGGUACGGGCAGACUAGAGUGCGGUAGGGGAGAUCGGAAUUCCUGGUGUAGCGGUGAAAUGCGCAGAUAUCAGGAGGAACACCGGUGGCGAAGGCGGAUCUCUGGGCCGUAACUGACGCUGAGGAGCGAAAGCAUGGGGAGCGAACAGG
rnacentral:rRNA from 1 species